rnacentral:rRNA from 1 species
CGACACGGGGAGGUAGUGACAAUAAAUAACAAUAUAGGGCUCUUUUGGGUCUUAUAAUUGGAAUGAGUACAAUUUAAAUCCCUUAACGAGGAUCAAUUGGAGGGCAAGUCUGGUGCCAGCAGCCGCGGUAAUUCCAGCUCCAAUAGCGUAUAUUAAAGUUGUUGCCGUUAAAAAGCUCGUAGUCGAACUUCGGCCUCUGCCACCCGGUCCGCCUAUUUGGGUGUGUACUGGAGUGGUGGAGGCUUACCUCGUGGUGAGCGGCCAUGUCCUUCACUGGGCGUGGUCGGGAACCAUGACUUUUACUUUGAAAAAAUUAGAGUGUUCAAAGCAGGCUUACGCCCGAAUACAUUAGCAUGGAAUAAUAAAAUAGGACGUGCGGUCCUAUUUUGUUGGUUUCUAGGAUCGCCGUACUGAUUAAUAGGGAUAGUUGGGGGCAUUCGUAUUCAAUUGCUAGAGGUGAAAUUCUUGGAUUUAUUGAAGACGAACUACUGCGAAAGCAUUUGCCAAGGAUGUUUUCAUUGAUCAAGAACGAAGGUUAGGGGAUCGAAAACGAUCAGAUACCGUUGUAGUCUUAACAGUAAACGAUGCCGACUAGGGAUCGGACGAGGAUUUUUAAUGACUCGUUCGGCACCUGAAGAGAAAUCUUUAAGUCUAGGUUCGGGGGGGAGUAUGGUCGCAAGGCUGAAACUUAAAGGAAUUGACGGAAGGGCACCACCAGGUGUGGAGCCUG